AACGAACGCUGGCGGCAUGCCUAACACAUGCAAGUCGAACGAAACCUUCGGGUCUAGUGGCGCACGGGUGCGUAACGCGUGGGAACCUGCCCUUAGGUUCGGAAUAACUCCCCGACAGGGGUGCUAAUACCGGAUAAGGUCUUCGGACCAAAGAUUUAUCGCGUUUGGAUGGGCGCGCGUUGGAUUAGCUAGUUGGUAGGGUAAAAGCCUACCAAGGCGACGAUCCAUAGCUGGUCUGAGAGGAUGAUCAGCCACACUGGGACUGAGACACGGCCCAGAAUCCUACGCGAGGCAGCAGUGGGGAAUAGUGCACCAUGGCCGAAAGCAUGAUCCAGCAAUGACGCGUGAGUGAUGAAGGCCUUAGGGUUGUAAAGCUCUUUUACCCGGGAUGAUAAUGACAGUACCGGGAGAAUAAGCCCCGGCUAACUACGUG
rnacentral:rRNA from 1 species